AGAGUUUGAUCCUGGCUCAGAGCGAACGCUGGCGGCAGGCCUAACACAUGCAAGUCGAACGGGCUCUUCGGAGCUAGUGGCGGACGGGUGAGUAACACGUGGGAACGUGCCUUUAGGUUCGGAAUAAGCCCGGGAAACUGGGUCUAAUACCGGAUGUGCCCUUCGGGGGAAAGAUUUAUCGCCUUUAGAGCGGCCCGCGUCUGAUUAGCUAGUUGGUGGUGUAAUGGACCACCAAGGCGACGAUCAGUAGCUGGUCUGAGAGGAUGAUCAGCCACAUUGGGACUGAGACACGGCCCAAACUCCUACGGGAGGCAGCAGUGGGGAAUCUUGCGCAAUGGGCGAAAGCCUGACGCAGCCAUGCCGCGUGAAUGAUGAAGGUCUUAGGAUUGUAAAAUUCUUUCACCGGGGACGAUAAUGACGGUACCCGGAGAAGAAGCCCCGGCUAACUUCGUGCCAGCAGCCGUGGUAAUACGAAGGGGGCUAGCGUUGCUCGGAAUUACUGGGCGUAAAGGGAGCGUAGGCGGACACUUAAGUCAGGGGUGAAAUCCCGGGGCUCAACCUCGGAACUGCCUUUGAUACUGGGUGUCUUGAGUGUGAUAGAGGUAUGUGGAACUCCGAGUGUAGAGGUGAAAUUCGUAGAUAUUCGGAAGAACACCAGUGGCGAAGGCGACAUACUGGAUCAUUACUGACGCUGAGGCUCGAAAGCGUGGGGAGCAAACAGGAUUAGAUACCCUGGUAGUCCACGCCGUAAA
rnacentral:rRNA from 1 species